ACUUAAAUUGAAGAGUUUGAUCAUGGCUCAGAUUGAACGCUGGCGGCAGGCCUAACACAUGCAAGUCGAGCGGUAGCACAGAGAGCUUGCUCUCGGGUGACGAGCGGCGGACGGGUGAGUAAUGUCUGGGAAACUGCCUGAUGGAGGGGGAUAACUACUGGAAACGGUAGCUAAUACCGCAUAACGUCGCAAGACCAAAGUGGGGGACCUUCGGGCCUCAUGCCAUCAGAUG
rnacentral:rRNA from 1 species